CGCAAUGUCACUCUGAUAUAUUUUCAGAACAAGUACAAAGUCACGAACGAGAAGGUGCGUAAAUGAAUUAAAAUUCACUCCAAGCCAAUAUAAAAUUGUCAUGUGGCAUUAACAAUUUGUCUACUCCAAACAACUCUUCUUCUGCAACAAUUCAUACUCCAAACAACUCUUCUUAUGCAACAAUUCAUCUUCUCCAAACAACGAAAAAAAAAGGAAUUCACAAUUUUUUUCCCAUCAAUGUAAAAAAAUGAUGUUUCUCCUCCAUUCAUUCACUUUAAUCAAAUCCCCAUUCAUGAAAAAAAAAUUCUUACUCUUCGAUUUCAUAUUUCAUCUCCCAUCAACUAUCAAAAUUUUAUUCUCUUUUUCUGAUUUUAUAAUAAUGUUUGUCGAAGACGACAUUAAUUGAUCUGAAAAUAUUAGAUCUCUUAUCCACCUCAACUUCAGCACAAUAAAUGCCUGUUGCACCACUAUCAUUGCCUCCAAAGACGGUGGCAUCAACAGACCAGAAGAACAAGAUAAUUAACGCUGAUGCAGAUUCAAAGUGAGACUUUUUUGAAUUGAAAUAUCAUUACACCGAUGAAAAAAUCAAAAAGGAGAAGAAUAUUGGAGAGACCUGACCAUCAACAACGAUGAUGGAAGAGAGUCUUAAAAGUGAAUUCGCUAUGGUUGCCAAAGGAUGUGCCAACUAUUUAUAAUUUUUAAUCAAUUAUAUUAAAAUUGCAAAUUUCAAUUUCUUUACCAGCGGAAUUUGUCG
rnacentral:lncRNA from 1 species